rnacentral:rRNA from 1 species
CCUACGGGGGGCAGCAGUAGGGAAUCUUCCGCAAUGGACGAAAGUCUGACGGAGCAACGCCGCGUGAGCGAAGAAGGCCUUCGGGUCGUAAAGCUCUGUUGUUAGGGAAGAACAAGUAGCGCAGUAACUGGCGUUACCUUGACGGUACCUAACGAGAAAGCCACGGCUAACUACGUGCCAGCAGCCGCGGUAAUACGUAGGUGGCAAGCGUUGUCCGGAAUUAUUGGGCGUAAAGCGCGCGCAGGCGGUUCCUUAAGUCUGAUGUGAAAGCCCACGGCUCAACCGUGGAGGGUCAUUGGAAGCGGGGGGACGUGAGGGGAGAAGAGGAGGGCGAAAUUCCAGGUGUAGGGGUGAAAGGGGUAGAGAUGGGGAGGAAACCCGGGGGCGAGGGCGGCUAUCGGGUCUAUAACUGACCCGGGGGCGCGAAAGCGUGGGGAGAAAAGGGGAUAAGAUACCCUGGUAGUC